UAUAUGAAUGUGUAUACACGUGUAUAAUAUCGCGCAAGUUCGCGUUUCAAAGAUUGCUCGUCGUCGCGCUCACGUCGAGUGGACUAUAGCGCGCGAGACUUUCGAACGACGGUUAUUUCGCGUCUCCUUUCGUCGUUUCUCUCGAUGGAUAACUUCGCUGUUAGAGAGUAUUGCGGGGAGUAAUAGAGAAAGAGAGAGAGAGAGAGAGAGAGUGUGAGUGAGUGAGUCACAGAGAGAAAGAGAGAGAGAGAGAGAGAGAAAGAAAGAAAGAAAGUGGUGGUAACAUAGUGGGGAAGGCUGGUCUAUAGUGGGGGACGGUACGUUGACGAGAACGGCCGAGGUAACGACGGAAAUGACCGAGGUCGUUCCAACGAAGGCCUCGCACGGUCGCAGCAAGAGGCACCACAGUUAGUCGCUAGAGGGCGCUUCACACGCGUUGGACGCGUCUUCGCGCAACUCCGUUAUAAUACUUUUUUUUUUGCAAGGGCAUUAGACGACGACGAAUCAUCAUCAAUCGUGUACCGCUUGUAUACCGCUAACUGCGUUCUCUCAAUCUAUCUUUCAUUACGUUAGACAGAGAAUAAUAGACGUUUAUAAAAGCAAGUUACUACGGGCUUACGAGACGUUACACGAAGUUUCUUUUUUUUUGCUCUUUCUAUUCAUUUAUUCGUCGUCAUUAUCGUUAUCAUCUAACAGUUCUUCUUCUACUAGAAGAAAGAAAGAGAGAAAGAGAGAGAGAGAGAGAGAGAAAGAGAGAGAGUUCAAACAUAACGGUUAAUCGUGCCCGAUCGUCGAUCGUUGCUUUUUCUCGAAGCUUGGCGGGAGUUUAGAUUUACGAGAGAAGUUAUAAACACAACUACGAAGAUAAAGUUAUUCGUCAAAAGCUUACUACGGGCCGUGUGCAAUAUAUAUAUAUAUAUAUCAUACAUACAUAUAUAUAUAUAUAUAAAUCAUUUUCCGAAGGCUUCUUUUAUACGCAUCGUUUUUCGAAAGGAUCAACGAUUAUUUUUCUCCUUACAUUUUUCUUUCGUUUCUCUCUUUUUCUUUCCUUUUUUUUUUCUUCUUCUUCUUUCUUUUUUUUUAAAUUCUCUCGCGAGUGUACUCUUUUCGUCGCGUGUGUGCCAAAAGAUAUACGAAGAAGACAAAAAGCGCGCGACGAGCCAGUUCGAAAUUCGCACGCGCGCUUCAACGCGUUCCAGCCUUUCGUCGUCAUUCUCCUUCUCCUCUUCUUACUAUCUUCUCCUCCCUCUCUCGUCGUCGUCGUCGUCGUCGUCGUCACCGUCACCGCCGUCGUCGUCGGCGUCGUCACCGUCGUCGCUCGCGAAGGCUCGCGCGCAAGUGCGUGCAACGUUGCCGGAUCAAAGUUCUCGCGGGCGCCUUAUGACCAAGAGAGAAUUCUAACAUAUAAUAUCAUCGAGGGGAAAAGUAAUAUACUCGAAGGAAGAAUAUAAAGAGAGAAGAAAAAAAAGCGAAAAAGACGAAAGACGAAAGAAAGAAAGAAAGAAAGUGAGUGAGUGAGUGAGAGAUAGAUAGUGAGAGAGAGAGAGAGGAAAAAAAACGAAAGAGAGAGAGAGAGAAAAGACGAAGGCUUCUCGUCGUCCUCGUUCGUGAA